rnacentral:misc_RNA from 1 species
UGUAGGAGCUGUCGCAGGCUGCGAUCUUUUGAUCUUGAUCUUAAAAACGAGAUCAAAAGAUCGCAGCCUGCGGCAGCUCCUACA